rnacentral:rRNA from 1 species
CUACGGAGGAUGCAAGCGUUAUCCGGAUUUAUUGGGUUUAAAGGGUGCGUAGGCGGUUUGCUAAGCGGGAGGUGAAAUGCCGGCGCUCAACGUCGGAAGUGCCUCCCGAACUGGUGGACUGGAAUGACUCUGCCGUGGGAGGAAUGUGUAGUGUAGCGGUGAAAUGCUUAGAGAUUACACAGAACACCGAUUGCGAAGGCAUCUCACGAAGGGUUGAUUGACGCUGAGGCACGAAAGCGUGGGGAUCAAACAGGAUUAGAUACCCUGGUAGUCCACGCAGUAAACGAUGAUGGCUAACCGCUGGUUUUUUCGGAUCAGUGGCCAAGCGAAAGCGAUAAGCCAUCCACCUGGGGAGUACGACCGCAAGGUUGAAACUCAAAUGAAUUGACGGGG